UCGCCCCAACGGCUUCCUGACGGGGCGAGGAGACCCUGACCGGAGCA
rnacentral:ncRNA from 1 species